AGAGUUUGAUCCUGGCUCAGGAUGAACGCUGGCGGCAAGCCUAAUACAUGCAAGUCGAGGGGCAGCAGGACAUUUCGGUGUCGCUGGCGACCGGCGAACGGGUGCGUAAUGCAUAAGUAAUCUGCCUUGUACUGGAGGAUAGCUUUUAGAAAUAGAAAUUAAUACUCCAUAUUAUCUUUUUUUCGCAUGAAGAAAAGAUGAAAGCUCAGGCGGUACAAGAUGAGCUUAUGUCCUAUUAGCUAGUUGGUGAGGUAAUAGCUCACCAAGGCGAAGAUAGGUAGGGGGUCUUUGAGGAUGUCCCCCCACACUGGUACUGAGACACGGACCAGACUCCUACGGGAGGCAGCAGUAAGGAAUAUUGGUCAAUGGACGCAAGUCUGAACCAGCUAUGCCGCGUGCAGGACGAAGGCCUUAUGGUCGUAAACUGCUUUUAUGUGAGAAAAAUAAAUCCCUGCGGGGACUAAUGAUGGUAUCACAUGAAUAAGCACCGGCAAACUCCGUGCCAGCAGCCGCGGUAAGACGGAGGGUGCAAGCGUUAUCCGGAUUUACUGGGUUUAAAGGGUACGUAGGUGGCAUUAUAAGUCAAUAAUGAAAGCCAAUAGCUCAACUAUUGAAGUGUUAUUGAUACUGUAGUGCUUGAGUAUAGUCGAGGUGAGUGGAAUUUUACAUGUAGCGGUGAAAUGCAUAGAUAUGUAAAAGAACACCAAUAACGAAGGUAACUCACUAGGCUAUUACUGACACUGAGGUACGAAAGCGUGGGGAGCAAACAGGAUUAGAUACCCUGGUAGUCCACGCUGUAAACGAUGAUCACUCGAUAUGCGCCCUUUGGGGUGCGUGUCCAAGCGAAAGCAUUAAGUGAUCCACCUGGGGAGUACGUUCGCAAGAAUAAAACUUAAAGGAAUUGACGGGGAUCCGCACAAGCGGUGGAGCACGUGGUUUAAUUCGAUACUACGCGAGGAACCUUACCUAGGCUAGAAUAUAUUUUGACGCAUCCAGAAAUGGGUGUUUCCGCAAGGACAAUUUAUAAGGUGCUGCAUGGCUGUCGUCAGCUCGUGCCGUGAGGUGUUUGGUUAAGUCCUAUAACGAGCGCAACCCUUAUGCUUAGUUGCCAGCACGUAAUGGUGGGAACUUUAGGCAAACUGCCUGCGAAAGCAGUGAGGAAGGAGAGGAUUAAGUCAAGUCAUCAUGGCCCUUACGCCUAGGGCUACACACAUGCUACAAUGGCAUGUACAGAGAGUCGCUACCUGGUAACAGGAUGCUAAUCUUUAAAACAUGUCUCAGUUCGGAUUGAGGUCUGCAACUCGACCUCAUGAAGUCGGAAUCGCUAGUAAUCGCGUAUCAGCAAUGGCGCGGUGAAUACGUUCUCGGGUCUUGUACACACUGCCCAUCAAGCCAUGGAAGUUGGGGGGACCUAAAGACAGUGACCGUAAAAGGAGCUGUUUAAGGUUAAACCAAUAACUGGGGUUAAGUUGUAACAAGGUA
rnacentral:rRNA from 1 species